rnacentral:rRNA from 1 species
CCUACGGGGGGCAGCAGUGAGGAAUAUUGGACAAUGGGUGCAAGCCUGAUCCAGCCAUCCCGCGUGAAGGAUUAAGGUCCUAUGGAUUGUAAACUUCUUUUAUACAGGGAUAAACCUCUCCUCGUGAGGAGAGCUGAAGGUACUGUAUGAAUAAGCACCGGCUAACUCCGUGCCAGCAGCCGCGGUAAUACGGAGGGUGCAAGCGUUAUCCGGAUUUAUUGGGUUUAAAGGGUCCGUAGGCGGGCCGAUAAGUCAGUGGUGAAAUCUCGCAGCUU